GAUGAACGCUGGCGGCGUGCCUAAUACAUGCAAGUCGAGCGAACAGACGAGGGGUUUGCUCCUCACACGUUAGCGGCGGACGUGUGAGUAACACGUGGAUAACCUACCUAUAAGCCUGGGAUAACUUCGGGAAACCGGAGCUAAUACCGUAUAAUAUAUUGAUCCGCAUGGUGCAGUAGUGAAAGACGGUUUUGCUGUCACUUAUAGAUCGAUCCGCGGCUCAUUAGCUUGUUGGUAAGGUAAAGGUUUACCGAGGCGACGAUGCGUAGCCGGGCGGAGAGGGGGAGCCGGCACGCGAGAGCGUAGGCCCGCACCAGAAUCGUGCGGCAGGCCGGAGUAGGGCAUGUGCCGGCAUGGGCGAAUGUUGGACGGAGCAAGGAAGCGUGAGUGAUGAAGGUCGUCGGAUCGUAGAAGGCUGUUAUUAGGGAAGCACAAAUGUCUAAGGACCUAGGCACGUUGUGACGGUACCUAAUCAGAAAGCCCCGGCUAACUACGUG
rnacentral:rRNA from 1 species